GACGAACGCUGGCGGCGUGCCUAAUACAUGCAAGUAGAACGCUGAAGGAGGAGCUUGCUUCUCUGGAUGAGUUGCGAACGGGUGAGUAACGCGUAGGUAACCUGCCUGGUAGCGGGGGAUAACUAUUGGAAACGAUAGCUAAUACCGCAUAAUAGUAGAUGUUGCAUGACAUUUGCUUAAAAGGUGCAAUUGCAUCACUACCAGAUGGACCUGCGUUGUAUUAGCUAGUUGGUGGGGUAACGGCUCACCAAGGCGACGAUACAUAGCCGAACGGAGAGGGUGGUCGGCCACACUGGGACGGAGACACGGCCCAGACGCCUACGGGAGGCAGCAGUAGGGAAUCGUCGGCAAUGGGCGGAAAUCUGACCGAGCUAGGCCGAAGGAGGGAGGAAGAUUUUCGGGUCGUAAAGCUCGGUUGUAAGGGAAGAACGAGUUUGAGAGUGGAAAGAUCACACUGUGACGGUAACUGACCAGAAAGGGACGGCUAACUACGUG
rnacentral:rRNA from 1 species